GGGAAUUUAGCUCAGUGGUAGAGCGCUUGCCUAGCAAGCACAAGACCCUGGGUUCGGUCCCCAGCUCU
rnacentral:tRNA from 1 species